CCAUACCUGGGCUCACGGGAGGAGCACGAGCAGUCCAGGAGGAGGUUAGAAAUAGAACUGCCGGGGCUGAGCGAGGGCAGAGGCUGUUCGGUUGGAGCUGUGGUCGGAUGCCUGAGGAGAGGAGAGCGUGAUUGAGGAGAGGAUGGACGUCACUGUGUCUGACCGGAAUUAACCCGGGAGCAAAGGAGUGGAGGCGGAGCCGCAAAGGAGCGCUGUCAGCAGCGGCAUAGACAUAUCAGUGUAAGCCGCCAGUAUUAAGGGAAGAGACGCGGGGAGGAGCGAGACAGCGAGACGAGACUCCAGGGAAGAGCUAUACCGUUGGGCAGCCAAGGUCUCCGUGUGACGGAUGAGUGGCCGAGGUCCCCUGGAGAGGGAAGCUGGGAUGGAGCAGCCUCCUGAGAAGGGAGAUAUCAUACCGCUGCCUCCGCUGUACUUAAACAUACAAUUAUACUUACCGUCGAAGGGUUCAGCAGGACGUGACUGACCUGGAAAAGAAGAGGAAGAAACAUACAAUUAUACUUACCGUCGAAGGGUUCAGCAGGACGUGACUGACCUGGAAAAGAAGAGGAA